rnacentral:rRNA from 1 species
GACGAACGCUGGCGGUGUGCUUAACACAUGCAAGUCGAACGAUGAAGCCGGAGCUUGCUCUGGUGAAUUAGUGGCGAACGGGUGAGUAACACGUGAGUAACCUGCCCUUGACUCUGGGAUAACUGCUAGAAAUGGUAGCUAAUACCGGAUACGACCCUCGGCGGCAUCGCCAGGGGGUGGAAAGAAUUUCGGUCAAGGAUGGACUCGCGACCUAUCAGCUAGUUGGUGAGGUAACGGCUCACCAAGGCGACGACGGGUAGCCGGCCUGAGGGGGUGACCGGCCACACUGGGACUGAGACACGGCACAGACUCCUACGUGAGGCAGCAGUGGGGAAUAUUGCACAAUGGGCGCAAGCCUGAUGCAGCAACGCCGCGUGAGGGAUGACGGCCUUCGGGUUGUAAACCUCUUUUAGUAGGGAAGAAGCGAAAGUGACGGUACCUGCAGAAAAAGCACCGGCUAACUACGUGCCAGCCGCCGCAGUAA